rnacentral:rRNA from 1 species
UACGUAGGUGGCAAGCGUUGUCCGGAUUUACUGGGCGUAAAGAGCGCGCAGGCGGUCGUUCAAGUCGCGUGUGAAAGCCCCCGGCUCAACUGGGGAGGGUCACGCGAUACUGAUCGACUCGAAGGCAGGAGAGGGUAGUGGAAUUCCCGGUGUAGUGGUGAAAUGCGUAGAUAUCAGGAGGAACACCGAUGGCUAAGGCAGGUCUCUGGGCCGAUACUGACGCUGAGGAGCGAAAGCGUGGGGAGCGAACAGG